AACCAGUACCGUGAGGGAAAGGUGAAAAGCACUUCGAACAGAAGAGUGAAAUAGUUCCUGAAACCGUGCGCCUACAAGCGGUCGGAGCUCGUUAAUGAGUGACGGCGUGCCUUUUGCAUAAUGAACCUACGAGUUGCCUUUGCCGGCAAGGUUAAGUGUGACGACACACGUAUCCGAAGCGAAAGCGAGUCUGAACAGGGCGUAUAGUCGGCAGUGGCAGACGCGAAACCAAGUGAUCUACCCUUGGCCAGGUUGAAGGCUGGGUAACACCAGCUGGAGGACCGCACCAAUAAGCGUUGAAAAGCUUCUGGAUGAGCUGAGGGUAGGGGUGAAAGGCUAAUCAAACUUGGAGAUAGCUCGUACUCCCCGAAAUGCAUUUAGGUGCAGCCUUGCGGGUUACUGAUGUGAGGUAGAGCGACUGAUAAGAUGCGAGGGCUUCACCGCCUAUCAAGUCUUGACAAACUCCGAAUGCGCAUCAGUUCUACCGCAGGAGUGAGGGCAUGGGUGCUAAGGUCCGUGCCCGAGAGGAGAAGAAUCCGGACCACCUGCUAAGGUCCCGAAAUGACAGCUAAGUUAAACUAACGAAGUCUGACUGCUAAGACAGCUAGGAUGUUGGCUUGGAAGCAGCCAUUCAUUUAAAGAGUGCGUAACAGCUCACUAGUCGAGGAGUCGGGCGUGGAUAAUAAUCGGGUAUCAAGUUGUCUACCGAAGCAGUGGGAUCAUUGAUAUGAUCGGUAGGGGAGCAUUCCAGUCGGCGUCGAAGGCGUACCGUGAGGUAUUCUGGAGCGUCUGGAAAAGCAAAUGUAGGUAUAAGUAACGAUAAAGGGGGCGGGAAACCCCCUCGCCGAAAGACUAAGGUUUCCUGAUCAACGCUAAUCGGAUCAGGGUCAGUCGGGUCCUAAGGCUCAGCCGAACGGCGAUGCCGAUGGCAGAAACGGUUAAUAUUCCGUUACUACCUUCAGGAGUGACGUGGAGACGCAGUAGUGACAGUGCCGCCAUCUGACGGAAUAGAUGGUUGAAGGGUGUAGGAGUCGAUCAUGGCAGGCAAAUCCACCAUGAGAUCCGAACCUGACAGUAUGCCGCGUCCUUCGGGACAAGGCAAUAGUGCGCGUAAGCAUGCUGCCGAGAAAAUCCGCUAAACUUAAUCCUGCAGGUACCCGUACCGCAAACGGACACACGUAGUCGGGAUGAAUAUUCUAAGGCGCUUGAGUGAUUCACGGUUAAGGAACUAGGCAAACUGACCCUGUAACUUCGGGAUAAAGGGUCCCUACCCUUUUAUGGGAGGGCGCAGAGAAUCGGUCCAGGCAACUGUUUAACAAAAACACAGGGCUGUGCCAAAUCGAAAGAUCCAGUAUACAGCCUGACACCUGCCCGGUGCUGGAAGGUUAAGAGGAGAUGUCAUCGAUAAGAGAAGCGUUGAAUUGAAGCCCCAGUAAACGGCGGCCGUAACUAUAACGGUCCUAAGGUAGCGAAAUUCCUUGUCGGGUAAGUUCCGACCUGCACGAAUGGUGUAAUGAUCUGGACGCUGUCUCAACCGUGAGCUCAGUGAAAUUGUAGUAUCGGUGAAGAUGCCGAUUACCCGCGAUGGGACGAAAAGACCCCGUGAACCUUUACUAUAGCUUAUCAUUGAAUCUGGGCACGUGAUGUGUAGGAUAGGUCGGAGGCUUUGAAGCAGGUACGCCAGUAUUUGUGGAGCCGCUGUUGAAAUACGACCCUUUAUUUGUUUGGAUUCUAACCCGUGGAACGGGGACAUUGAUUGGUGGGUAGUUUGACUGGGGUGGUCGCCUCCAAAAGCGUAACGGAGGCUUCUA
rnacentral:rRNA from 1 species